CAAUGUACCAAAACUCUACUAACGACAAGUCUAAGAAUAAGAGGUACAACCCCGAAACUAAACAAACACCUUAAACAAAUAGUCUGAGUCCGAAAAGAGUGGACUUAAACAAGAAAGAUCCAUGACAGCCUGAAAGAACUGGCUCACCCUUGAAUCCGGUCACGCUCAAUAGUCACCUAGCUGAGGUCUAUCAAUAGCCACCUGAAGAUGCCCUGUACUCAACAAAGAAAGAGCAAGUGCAGUAUCAGUACACAACCAUAGUGUACUAGUAGGAUCACACGGCUAUCCCAAUAAGUGUAACAUACAUUAGCCAAUACAACAAUAUAAUCACAUGCACAUAUGAACAUAUAUAAUAUCAUCAACACAUACGAACAAUGAACCACUCCACGAUUCUCACAUAUCACAGUUAUAUCAAUUUAGAGCAACAUAUCGUCUUCCAAUAUCAAUCAUCAUUAGAUAUGAACGAACUCAUCGCAAGUAGAUACACAACACAAUUUAAUGGUCCUCUCAUAGUUAGCAUACCGGAACGUGGUACCCUAUCUAAUGAUUAUGCCGGAACGUGGCAACCGAUCCCAUAAUUAUGCCGGAACAUGGCAACCGAUCCAAGUUAGUUAUGCCGGAACGUGGCAACCGAUCCAUUGAACACACCACAAUCACAAUCACAAGUAUAUCCUCAAGAUCAUACAUUUAAGUCAUGAUUUCAUGGUAACCAUCAUUCAUCUAUCUCAUUUACAGUAAGUUUGAUCAAUAAUGCAACAUUCAUAUAAAUACAUGUAUCAUAAUGAAGCAAGAACAAACAUAAAUCACACAAUCAUAGAAUCAAAACCAUCACUACCUCGAAACAAGCAUUGAAACACUAAGAAUCUUGAUUCUUCCCCUUUCGGAUUCGUUCCGCUUGUUCUUGGUCUACAAACAAUCAAUAUAAUACGAAAAUCAAUAAACAAUUACUAAUUACCCGAAUUGCUAACAAUUCUAUGAACCCUAGAUCAUACCUAUGAUCCCAAGUAUCCAAAAUAGGGUUGUUUCCACCAUAGAUUCUAGAUCAAAACCCUCCCCCAUCGAUCAUUACCCAUUAGAUUACGUUCUACAGAUCAAAAAAUGGAUUCGGGGAGUUAAAAUCUUACCUUUAGCCUCAAUAAUGGUGGAAAACUGUCAAUAAUGGGUUUGUUCCUUAGAUCUAAAAAUUGAAAAGUGCAGAAUAAUGUCAUUUUGGGGUUUAUUUACGACUUUAAGUCACGUCUGGCCCGCCACGGUGGCCCUCACCCCACUACAGCGGCCACGCCAGAGCGACAAAAACCACAGCCACACCCGCUUGUACGAAAUGGUAAGCUAUUUUAAUAAAUCCAAGACCCCCAUUUGACAACACACCUUUAACCAACGACCCUCAGAAAAUACCGUUCAUGCUAAGAUCGAUUCCGGGAGUUCUACUCACUCGAAUUCAAUUCCGUAAAGUCAUACAGAUUCCUUAACGACUUAUCUCACCAAUCAUGGAAUCAAAAUCAUAAAUAAGUCAAUUGAUUGUUACCAGAUUUCCCUAAACCUCACUGACUCCAAAUUCGUCCAAAUCUGGACUAGGCUAGGAAAUCUCUAUUUACUAUGAAAAGGUUUUUUGGCCCCAAUUCUUUCCCCAUUGGCUUUUCUCUAACGACGGAAUCAGGUCGUUACAGUUAGGCAUAUAAUAUCUUCAUAGCUGGUGUGAAAUCAUACAUAUACAUGACAUACAAAAUUUAAAAUGAUUUGAAUAAAUAAGAUUUUUUGAUGUCAUAGUUUAAAGUUGGCUUUAUAUUUCAGGCUUUAUACUAUUUUCUCAGUUACAUCUCUACUUUAUUCUCCCUCAUAUCCUUGGGAGCAGAUACCUUGUUCAUAACCUAGCCUAACCCCAAGGAAAGAUAAGUUAGACCUUCGUACUCUUAAAUGUGUCUUUCUUGGUUACUCUCGAGUUCAAAAAAGGGUAUUGUUUCUAUUUACCAUAUCUUCGUCGAUACCUUAUGUAGGACAAUGUCACAUUCUUUAUAUCACAACCUUACUAUACAUCUUCUAAUCAUCCUGAUGUCUCUGAGAUCUUACUCCUACCUCUCAGUUCUUACCUGUACCAACUUUUGAGGGACCUACAGUUACUUCUACAUCUCUACUUGUAGUACCAUCACUCCUGACUUAUCAUCAUAAUUCGCAUCUUGCACUAUUCUCCGGUGAAUUAUGCCAUGCGUCAAACAAUGUUGCUACUGCGGACUUGCCUCCUCCUAGCCAACCGAUUGCAUUUCAAAAAGGUAUACAAUCCACUUGAAAUACUAACCCAUAUUAUGCUUACUUGAGUUAUCAUCAUUUAUCAUCACCCCACUAUGCCUUUGUAUCAUUUGUCCUCUAUUUUUAUCCCUAAGACUAUAGGUGAAAUACUUUCUCAUUUUGAAGGGAGGUAGACGAUGAUUGAUGCCAUGUCUACUUUACAUACGUGUGGUACUUGAGAGCUAGUCCCAUUUCCUGUAGGUAAAUCUACUAUUGGUUGUCGUUGAAUUUAUGCGGUCAAAAAUGGUUUAGAUAGUUAGGUUUAUAAGGUUCACCUUGUUGCCAAAGGGUAUAAUCGGUGUAAUACCCCAUUUUAACUCGAGGUCCAAACGGUGUACAACAUAUUGUGAUUCUUAAUGCUAUUUUAAAGAGUCGGCACCUAAUCAUGUGAAGGUAAAUUAUGAUACCUAUUUUACUAAAGUUAUUCUAUAUUAACUCUACAUUAAGGUCUACUUAACCUUAUAUGAUUCUAGGUAAGGGUUCUAAUUUAUCUUAAAGGGAAGGGGUAAGACAUCCUUUAAGAUCCGUUAAAAAAUAGUUAACCGGCCAAACUUAGGUUAAUUAAUUAAACUAAAAUAUAAUGCUAAAGAAUUUGCAAAAAACCAUGAGUGGAAAACAUUUUAACAUAUGAAAAACUCUUUUAUAUUUGGAAAGAAUUUACUUGUAUUUUAAUUUUUUGAAAACAAUAGAUAAUCACUUGUUUAAAACGACAAUUGUUUGUACAAAAUUUGGUACGAAAAAUGCAUACUAAAAGAAUGGUUUCAGUAUACGAAGUUAAUGCACAUGUCUUAAAAUUUGUUUGCACCUUGAAAAGCAUUCUACAUUUGAAAAUUGAUUGAAAUAGAAUGACAAAAACUUGAAAAGAAGAAAAUAAAAAAGUCAUUUGCUUAAAAUAAUUUUAUUAGUCUCUGAAGUCAUGGCUAUAAAAACACAGUACAAAAUCUAAAUUAUGACCCCAAAAAUGCUUCUUUAAAAAAAAAAUCAAAUUGAGCUUAAAUAAAUGCUAGAUUUCUUACAAAAAAGGAAAAGCUCACAUAUGAUAGAUAGUUUAUCGAUAUUUAGGGGUGUUCAAGGUUUGGAUAAAAACCGAUCCAAACCGAAAAACUAAACCAAACCGAUUUUUAUUUGGGUUAGGUGUGGUUUGGUUUUAGAUUUUUAAAAAUCGAUAGCAUAUGGGUUGGUUAUGGUUUUGUUCGAAAAAAACCGAAGAAAUAACCGAAUUGAACCGACAAAUUAUAUACAUAUAUUUUAUUAUUAUACAUACAUAAUAUAUUAUUUUUAUAAACAAUUUUAAAGAUCUGGUAUGUUUUUCAUCAAAAAUUAUUUAUAAUUUACUUAUGAAAGAAAAAAUGCAUAAGGUGAGAAUAUUUAUCUUAUUGGUUUUAUAUAUAUGAGUGUGUCUGACAAUUCUUUAUAAGAUUGAAAAUAUUACUCUCUCUUUCUUCUAGGACAAAAUAAUGAAUUUUGAAGCUUUAUUCAUAGUAAAUUCAAUUAUUGAAAGUUCUGUAAUGUCAGUCACUCUAACUAUUUUGGUUUUAAAUGGAUUGUUGUCACUUUUUUCACAUUUUGAAUGAAUUGUGUCUUCUAUUUUUGUCUAUGGUUAAUAAAAGAUUAACCAAACCAAAUCGAACCGAACAGAUAACAACCAAACUGAUAAAUAUAUACUAUAUUUGGUUUCGUUUGGUUUGGUUUUGAUAAUUUUAAAACUGAUUAAAUUGGUUUGGUUUUGAUUUUGACCAAUAACCGAUCCAACCAACCCGUGAAUACCCCUAUCGAUAAUUAGUUUGUGGCUAACUAAGUAAUUAGAUUUAAACGUGAUCAUUUUUCCUAUGUCGAUUAUCCCGAAUGAAAAGAAAAACUAAAAACACAUUUAAAUCACAUACGUAAGUUCAUCAUGUCAAGAAAAAUCAAUAAAAACAAAUAAAUGUUAAAGAUAUAAAUAGACAUAGGCGACUCCAAGUGAGUUUCACUCGUUUUGCUUACUAUUCCAGAUAGUCAAAGAUAU
rnacentral:lncRNA from 1 species